GACGAACGCUGGCGGCGUGCUUAACACAUGCAAGUCGAACGGAAAGGCCCUGCUUUUGUGGGGUGCUCGAGUGGCGAACGGGUGAGUAACACGUGAGUAACCUGCUCUUGACUUUGGGAUAACUUCAGGAAACUGGGGCUAAUACCGGAUAGGAGCUCCUGCUGCAUGGUGGGGGUUGGAAAGUUUCGGCGGUUGGGGAUGGACUCGCGGCUUAUCAGCUUGUUGGUGGGGUAGUGGCUUACCAAGGCUUUGACGGGUAGCCGGCCUGAGAGGGUGACCGGCCACAUUGGGACUGAGAUACGGCCCAGACUCCUACGGGAGGCAGCAGUGGGGAAUAUUGCACAAUGGGCGGAAGCCUGAUGCAGCAACGCCGCGUGCGGGAUGACGGCCUUCGGGUUGUAACCCGCUUUCGCCUGUGACGAAGCGUGAGUGACGGUAAUGGGUAAAGAAGCACCGGCUAACUACGUG
rnacentral:rRNA from 1 species